AUAAAGGACUGGUCCUACUUGGCAGAUACAGCGUCAUUAAAGCCAGUUAGCAUAUAUAACACGUCAUGUGUGGUAAGGUGAUGUGUAUUUUGAGAAACAGCAAUAACAUUAAAGAAUAUUUAUAGGUCUGAUCAUAUUUCACUCAAUGAAUUUUUUACAGCACAUAAAAUUUCAAAAAUAUCUAUAAUUCAUCAUUUAAAUUUCUAGAGUUUUAUCUUUAAUUCAGUUUGUAUAUUUUGUUCUGUACUAUGGUCUGUAUAGAAACUAUGCGAACAACAGGGAAAAUAUAAAUCACUUUUAUCUACAUCUUUCAAGUUGCUGGCUAAUUAACUGUAAGGUGAGAUAUAAAAUGAUGCAAUGUUGACCCGGUAUGAACUGAUAAGUCACAACACUUGGAAUAAUCUAUUCAUGUGUAACAAGUUUUUCAGGAGACCACUAAAUGAUUCAAGGAAUUAUUACUGAUAAUUUACCAGGAAUAAAAUAACAAUAUCUAUUUCAAAAUCAUAUCGAAGUAACAUUUUCUGUGUCAUAGGCUAAUAACAAUUGAUAGCACAACUUUAUAUGAGACAUGUAUAAAUGUUAUAAUGGAGUACUUAUAAGAAUGCUACACUUUAAUUUAAACCUGCCUUUAAUGAGUGUUUUUAAAGCAGUUACAAUAACAAAAUCAAUUAAAAAAACUGACCAGCAGGAUUAUUGUUCUCUAGAACUGAAUUGAAUAACAUAAGCGAGGAAUGUCAGUUUUGAUUUUGAGAAACAUAACAUUUGAAGUAGAUUUAUGGAAAGAUAAACAUAAAGUACCUUUGUAAAUAUUUACAAAAAGGACAGGUUUGGGAGAAUAAGUGUAUUAAAAAAACCUUGCAUUUUCCCGCCAUCUGUGAGAUAUUUCACUAUACACUCAGUGACUCAGUGAAUCGGCUAUUAUCACCUGGUAUCUCACUUACGGAGAAUUUGAAUUUUGUAGCAAACAACAAAGCAUGAUUUAUGUGUGAAAAUGUAAUUAUUAAGAUAAUUAAAAAUUAUUCCAAAUUUCAAAAUAUUGUUUUGUUAAUAAAAGGAAUUCAACUUCCAAGCUCUUCACUGGCAUGUGUAUCACUGAAAAGAAAAAAUGGAAACAAAGUGAUUCCCCUGAAGCAUUAAUCACAACAAAAUUACGCGAAAAUUGCAGACUCAGUUUGAUUGAAUCUGUACAUGAGGGAUAAUGAAUUAGUGCAACAUCCCUCACGCCCCUUGCACCGUCUUGAGCGGUACUCAAUUAUCCACACUUAAUACUGCUGGCAUCAAUGAAGGGCCAGAAAAGUAUACCAACACUGACGUACAUUUUAGAACCAUCUUGCUCUUUUAUAGUUUUACUUUUCACCUCGAUUCUAAUUGCAAAGUUGUCUCAAUAUCAGGUUCUUUUUUUAGAACACAUCCGUCAAACAGUGGCUUAGUAAGGUUUUAUGAAUGUCCAUCCACAUUAAUACACUGAUGGUCACUCCUUUGCCUCUGUUGAACAUGGUCAGGAUGUUUGUCCCAAAUAUUUCUCGGACGAGUCCUAAUAUGGACCAUUUCAUUUCCUGAGAAAAAGUAGUUUACAGUGCCCUAAAUCUUAACUCUCUAGAAUUUACGUUUUCACCGCAAAUUUUAUGAAGAUUUGCCAGGAAAAUUGUUUUGAUUGGUUUUCUAGGUCUUAUUCGAUUAUUGGUCAUCUGAUUUAUGAAUGAAUAUUAUUUGUUAGAUUAAGUAACAAGAUUCUUGCAAGACAGACACAUUUUGAUACAUUUGUGAAACUUAAUUCUUGCAAUAUUCUGUAUGAAAUAUACAUUAUUUCUCCUACAGGAAAAUGUGAGAAGAAAACGAAUUAAGGAGCUAGUUAAAAAUAUAGCAGGGCAAAAAAAUAAGAAGAAACAGCUUAUGAUGGAAAAUCAAAAAAAGAAACAGCGAGGUACUGGUAGACAUGCCAUAUAUAAGUUGCACCUUGGAUGGCUUCAUGAAACUCGUGGGAAGUUAAGACAAGUUACCGCACGGAGAGGAGGCGGUACAAGAAUAUACGAAUUUAAAAAAGAAGAAGAGCAAACUGUUCAGACAGUUAUAAAUUAUGCAACUAGCAUUUUCUUUCCAGAUGGAAAAAAUGAUAUAGGAAAGUUAUCAGAUAUGGUAGUGAAUCUGUCUACAUAUAACGGAGAAGUAAUCUCAAAAUUUGUCAUGCCAAAUGGGGAAGAAUGUAAUUUGCAAACAUACUUGAAGUCUAUCGGCGUGUUUUCCUCUUAGUACUUUUUAUAUUUGAGAACAUCUAAAAAAACAGGAGAUUGACGGUAGAGAGCCAGUUAGACAGCAUGUAGAUGAUAAAAGCAUUCCGGUUCCUUUAACAUCAUUGAUAGUGAAUGACCAAACACCUGGUGAAAUAUGUGUAAAGUACACUAAACUUUGCAACUCAUCAUACACAGCAGAAUGUUCACAAAAAAUCUGUCAAACCAUUGAUGACUGAUUUCUUGACACAAUUGUAAGUGAUCCUGACAGAGAAAGAGAUGGGUAUAAUCCACUGGAAAAUAGUUUCAAAGUGACAGCCAUAACAGUCAACAAGAUCUCUAUUUUGAGCCAAGCAGAUCCGAGUUCUAACCACUUUGAAUAUCCAACAGCUACAUCAAAUGCAAAAGGAAUAAUUCAUACACCUGACCAGAUUGUGGGUUUUGAGAGGCAAGAAAACAAGGAAAUCAUACUUGGAGUACUUUAUAAAGAACAUAAUUCUGGUGCAUAUUUUCAGUGGUAUAAAAACAACGAACUCUUUGCAAGUGGACUUGACCUUUGCUUAAUCCCCGUAACUGAUCCUGGUGAAUACUUGGUGAAGGUAUCAGAUAAAGAUACACUUUAUGAAUGUGCAGCUGUAAGGGUGGACUCUCAA